rnacentral:rRNA from 1 species
UACGUAGGGUGCAGGCGUUAAUCGGAAUUACUGGGCGUAAAGCGUGCGCAGGCGGUUUGCUAAGACAGGCGUGAAAUCCCCGGGCUUAACCUGGGAACUGCGCUUGUAACUGGCAAGCUUGAGUGUGGCAGAGGGGGGUGGAAUUCCACGUGUAGCAGUGAAAUGCGUAGAGAUGUGGAGGAACACCAGUGGCGAAGGCGACUUUCUGGCCUAUAACUGACGCUGAGGCGCGACAGCGUGGGGAGCAAACAGG